rnacentral:rRNA from 1 species
UCGUCAGACGGAGGUUAGGCGGUCCCUAAGGUGAGGCCAGAAGGCGUAGCCGAUGGACAUCCAGUAGACAUUCUGGACCCGGGUUUAUCAGCCAUGGGAGGACGCUUCUCGAUAUUCCAUCCCGCACUGUUGGUAGUUGCGGGCUAGGCAAAGGUUUGGCUAGUUGAAAGACUAGCGUAAUGACUAAUGCCGGGGAAGGGAACUCUUCGGAGUGAACGAACUGGAAUUGAGGGGGGCCGAGAAAGCCCCACAGCAUUAAUGAUAAGUUCGACCGUACUGUAAACCGACACAGGUGGGUGAGUCGAGGAGACUAAGGCGUUCGAGAGAACUCUCGUUAAGGAACUAGGCAAAUGAGCCCCGUAACUUCGGGAUAAGGGGCGCCAGCGCAAGCUGGCCGCAGCGAAGCAGCCCAGGCGACUGUUUACCAAAAACACAGGUCUCUGCUAACACGAAAGUGGAUGUAUAGGGGCUGACGCCUGCCCAAUGCCAGUAGGUUAACAGGAGAUGUCAGGAGUAAUCCGAAGCAUUGAAUCGAAGCCCUGGUGAAUGGCGGCCGUAACUCUAACGGUCCUAAGGUAGCGAAAUUCCUUGUCGGCUAAAUACCGACCCGCAUGAAAGGCGUAACGACUUGGGCACUGUCUCAACGAGAAGCUCGGUGAAAUUGUAGCACCCGUGAAGAUGCGGGUUACGCGCAGUAGGACGGAAAGACCCCGUGGAGCUUUACUACACCCUGUCACUGCGAAUUGGGUGUGGAUGUAGAGAGUAGGUGGGAGCUUAGGCACCAAUGGAACACCACCCUUCUACAUCUGGUUCGCUAACCGUCACCAUUAUCUGGUGACGAGACAAUGACAGGCGGGUAGUUUGACUGGGGCGGUCGCCUCCCAAAAGGUAACGGAGGCGCCUAAAGUUGCACUCAGGCUGGUUGGAAAUCAGCCGUCGAGCGUAUAGGUAUAUAGUGCGAUUGACUGCGAGACAAACAGGUCGAGCAGGGACGAAAGUCGAGCUAAGUGACCCUCUGGUGGUGCGUGGGCACGCCAGGGUUCAUCGGAUAUAAGCUACCCCGGGGAUAACAGGCUGAUCUUGCCCGAGCGCUCACAGCGACGGCAUGGUUUGGCACCUCGAUGUCGGCUCGUCUCAUCCUGGGGCUGUACACGGUCCCAAGGGUUCCGGAGUUCACGGAUUAAAGAGGCACGCGAGCUGGGUUCAGAACGGCGUGAGCCAGUUCGGUCCCUAUCCACUGCGCGCGGAGGAAAUUUGAGAGGACUCGCUCCUAGUACGAGAGGACCGGAGUGAACCGACCUCUGGUGUACCUGUUGUGCCGCCAGGCGCAUACGCAGGGUAGCCACGUCGGGUCGUGAUAAGCGCUGAAAGCAUCUAAGCGCCAAGCACACCUCAAGAUGAGAUUUCCCAUCGAAAGAGUAAGGCCCCCGGAAGACUACCGGGUUGAUAGGUCGCAGGUGUGAGCGCAGUAAUGUGUUAAGCUGAGCGACACUAAUUGGCCGAGGGCUU